rnacentral:ncRNA from 1 species
ACUCCGCUUGAUCCUGGCGGACCCAACUGCUAUCGGGGUGGGACUAAGCCAUGCGAGUUGUGCGUCCUCUAGCCAUGCUGAGGGCGCGGCGCACGGCUCAGUAACACGUGGCUAACUUACCCUCAGGACGGGUACAACCUCGGGAAACUGAGGCUAAUAUCCGAUAGGUGGGGAGACCUGGAAUGGUCCCUCACCCAAAAGGAGCUAGUGGCAUGCUUGCUAGUUUCGCCGGAGGAUAGGGCCGCGCCCGAUCAGGUCGCUGGUGAGGUAACGGCUCACCAGGCCUAUAACCGGUACGGGCCGUGAGAGCGGGAGCCCGGAGAUGGGCACUGAGAUAAGGGCCCAGGCCCUACGGGGCGCAGCAGGCGCGAAACUCCGCAAUGCGCGAAAGCGUGACGGGGUCACCCCGAGUGCCGUCCGCUGAGGAUGGCUUUUGCCCGGUUUAACCAGCCAGGUGAAUAAGGGGAGGGCAAGUCUGGUGUCAGCCGCCGCGGUAAUACCAGCUCCCCGAGUGGUUGGGACGAUUAUUGGGUCUGAAGCGUCCGUAGCCGGCCGGAAAAGUUCCCCGUUAAAUCUGACGAUCCAAUCGUUGGGCUGCGGGGAAUACUCUUCGGCUUGGGGGCGAGGGAGGUCGGCGGUAGUCCCGGGGUAGGGGCGAAAUCCUAUAAUCCCGGGAGGACCACCAGUGGCGAAGGCGGCCGACUAAAACGCGCCCGACGGUGAGGGACGAAAGCUGGGGGAGCGAACGGGAUUAGAUACCCCGGUAGUCCCAGCUGUAAACGAUGCAGGCUAGGUGUUGGGUCGGCUACGAGCUGUCCCAGUGCCGCAGGGAAGCCAUUAAGCCUGCCACCUGGGAAGUACGGCCGCAAGGCUGAAUUUCUAUGGAGGCUCGGAAAAAUUCACUGAGCUUCUUAGAGCAGUUCACUUAAAGGAAUUGGCGGGGGAGCACCACAAGGGGUGAAGCUUGCGGUUUAAUUGGAGUCAACUCCGGGAACCUUACCAAGGGCGACAGCUGGAUGAAGGUCAGAUUAAAGGUCUUACCGGACUAGCUGAGAGGAGGUGCAUGGCCGUCGCCAG